GAUGAACGCUGGCGGCGUGCCUAAUACAUGCAAGUCGAGCGAACAGACGAUGAGCUUGCUCCUCUGACGUUAGCGGCGGACGGGUGAGUAACACGUGUAUCACCUACCUAUAAUACUGGGAUCACUUCGGAAAACCGGCGCUUAUACCGUAUAAUCUCUUGAACCGCAUUGUUCGAUAGUGAAAGACGGUUUUGCUGGCUCUUAUCGCUGGAUCCCCGCUGCUUUAGAUAGUUGUUAAGUUAACGGGUUACCAAGGCAACCAUGCGUAACCGAACUGAGAGAGUGAUAGGCCACCCGGGAACUGGGACACGGACCAGACGCCUAAGAGAGGGAGCAGUAGGGAAUCGUACGCAAUGGGCGAAAGCAUGACGGAGCAACGCCGCGUGAGUGAUGAAGGUCUUCGGAUCGUAAAACUCGGUUAUUAGGGAAGAACAAAUGUGUAAGGAAAUAUGCACGUCUUGACGGUACCGAAUAAGAAAGCAACGGCUAACUACGUG
rnacentral:rRNA from 1 species